rnacentral:rRNA from 1 species
UACGUAGGGACCGAGCGUUGUCCGGAAUCAUUGGGCGUAAAGCGCGCGCAGGCGGCUUCGCGCGCCCGACGUGAAAGCCCCCGGCUUAACCGGGGAGAGUCGUUGGGGACGGCGGAGCUUGAGGGCGGGAGAGGUCGGUGGAAUUCCCGGUGUAGUGGUGAAAUGCGUAGAGAUCGGGAGGAACACCUGUGGCGAAGGCGGCCGACUGGGCCGACCCUGACGCUGAGGCGCGAAGGCGUGGGGAGCGAACAGG